rnacentral:rRNA from 1 species
UUCGUUAUGUUGGUGUAUGUCUGAUUUAAUAUUAUUGCUUAAUGGUUUAAGUUUGUGUAUAUUUAUUUAAGUCAAGUCUAUGUGCUGCUUAUAAAAGUAUUCAUGCGUUACUUUAAUAAUAUGUUGGUUGAAAUAUUAAUUAAUUUAGGACUUAAUAGUAAUAUUUAAUUAAUUUGUAGAUGUGAAUAUAGUUUAGCUCAGGUACACACCGCCCGUCACCCUCGGUU